rnacentral:rRNA from 1 species
GUCUAGUACUCAGAGUUUGAUCCUGGGCUCAGGAUUAACGCUGGCGGCGUGCAUAACACAUGCAAGUCGAACGAUGAAACUUAGUAGACUUCUUCGGAAAGACACUAAGCGGAUUAGUGGCGAACGGGUGAGUAACGCGUGAGUAACCUGCCUUGCACAAGGGGAUAGCCUUUGGAAACGAAGAAUAAUACCCUAUAAAACCAUAAAAGCACAUGCUAGAAUGGUCAAAGUGAUAGCGGUGUAAGAUGGACUUGCGUCUGAUUAGCUAGUUGGUGAGAUAAAAGCUCACCAAGACAACGAUCAGUAGCCGGCUUGAGAGAGUGUACGGCCACAUUGGGACUGAGACACGGCCCAG